rnacentral:rRNA from 1 species
AGUGAACGCUGGCGGUAGGCCUAACACAUGCAAGUCGAACGGCAGCACAGUAAGAGCUUGCUCUUACGGGUGGCGACUGGCGGACGGGUGAUGAAUACAUCGGAAUCUACUUUUUCUUGGGUGAUAACGUAGGGACACUUACGCUAAUACCGCAUACGACCUACGGGUGAAAGCAUGGGAUCUUCGGACCUUGCGCGAUUCAAUGAGCCGAUGUCGGAUUAGCUAGUUGGCGGGGUAAAGGCCCACCAAGGCGACGAUCCGUAGCUGGUCUGAGAGGAUGAUCAGCCACACUGGAACUGAGACACGGUCCAGACUCCUACGGGAGGCAGCAGUGGGGAAUAUUGGACAAUGGGCGAAAGCCUGAUGCAGCCAUACCGCGUGGGUGAAGAAGGCCUUCGGGUUGUAAAGCCCUUUUGUUGGGGAAGAAAAGCAGCAGGUUAAUACCCCGCUGUUCUGACGGUACCAAAAGAACAAGCACCGGCUAACUUCGUG